GACAGAGGGGGCAAGCGUUGUCCGGAGUUACUGGGCGUAAAGCGCACGCAGGCGGCACGGCAAGUGUGGUGUGAAACCCGCCGGCUUAACCGGUGGACGCCAUCGCAGACUGCCGCGCUCGAGCCGUUCAGAGGUCCCUCGAAUUGCCGGUGUAGUGGUGAAAUGCGUAGAGAUCAGGAAGAACACCGGUGGCGAAAGCGCUCUGCUAGGCCGCAACUGACACUGAGGGACGAAAGCUAGGGGAGCGAAUGGG
rnacentral:rRNA from 1 species